AUUGAACGCUGGCGGCAUGCCUUACACAUGCAAGUCGAACGGCAGCACGGGAGCUUGCUCCUGGUGGCGAGUGGCGAACGGGUGAGUAAUAUAUCGGAACGUGCCCAAUCGUGGGGGAUAACGUAGCGAAAGUUACGCUAAUACCGCAUACGAUCUACGGAUGAAAGCGGGGGAUCGCAAGACCUCGCGCGAAUGGAGCGGCCGAUAUCAGAUUAGGUAGUUGGUGGGGUAAAGGCUCACCAAGCCAACGAUCUGUAGCUGGUCUGAGAGGACGACCAGCCACACUGGAACUGAGACACGGUCCAGACUUCUACGGGAGGCAGCAGUGGGGAAUUUUGGACAAUGGGCGGCAAGCCUGAUCCAGCCAUUCCGCGUGCAGGAUGAAGGCCUCGGUUGUUAAACGUUA
rnacentral:rRNA from 1 species